ensembl:lncRNA
CGGAAUGGGGCGUGCGGAUUGGCCGAGGGGAGGGAGGUUGGGGUGGGGCAGGCGAGAGCCGGCCGCUGAUUGGACUGGCCUGGUAAAGGCCCUGAGCUCAGACCGGCUGAGCGCUGGAAGGAGGCUGGACCGGAGGCGAGACUCUGAGCCCGCGUGAUUGGCUGCGAUCCUAGACGUUGAUGGGAUAGGGCGCCCGGGAGAACUGGGGAGAGGAGUUCGGGGUCGGGGCCGCGGGAAGGCGGGAGGCGCCCCGCCGCUUUCGGGGCCCGGCGCGGGGCACGCUGGGACGCCUCCGGGAAGGGGCGGAGCCGUGCGCGGGCUGCGGUUGGGGAAGCGCCGUCACCCGGAGGGGCGUGUUGGAGAAGGUUUCGCGGGCCCAAGCGGGGGAGGGGGGACCGUUAAAGCGCUGCACCGCGCCCACAGGAAGCUGCUUUAAUGGUUAGGCCUACUCGGUACCAGGCUCUCGGCUGGGAAGGACCUUGAAGACCAUGCGGUUCAACUUCCAAUUUGCAGAUGUGGAAACUGAAGCCCAGAGAGGGAUGCUGCCACAGGUAGGCUUGAUAAGCAGCGUGUAUGUCCGCACCCGGGAUCCGAACCCACAAAACCUGAGCCGGCAAAGCAGAUCAUGUGAACUUAACCACUACGCCACAGGGCCAGCCCUGCCAUUGCUUUUAAAUACAAAGAAAAACAUCAACUCAUGAAAAAAAAGCCAGACAUUGUCCAUCUGCCUACAGAAUUUGCAUAGGCGAACCACAUGGUGCUAAUCGGGAUAAUUCUUCAGCCAUGAGCAGCUCAGAGGAGUGUCAUGUUUUUUGGAAUGGUGGCAGCUUCUACCAGGGCUGACCUAGGAGAUGCUGGGCCCAAGUCUGGCUGGAAGAAAUCACGGGGAGAGAAUGUCUUAGCAGUUCUGCUCCGGUGGGUUUGAGAAAGAGGCGGAAGACUGACCUUUUCUGAAGGCGGCGUUGGAGAGUCGGUGUGGCCUUGAGAAAUACACACGGCCAGAAAUGGUGUGAUCCUGCUCCAAACAGCUGGGCUCACCCUUGGGCUUCAUGAACCUCACACAGGAGGUUUCAACUGAAGUAAACUUAUGACCUUUCCAUCAGUUCCCUUGAUAGAGUCUGUGCACUCUGUGAUCACUGUAAGAAUGAAGGAUGAGCCCGCACUUCUUUCCACUCGUAAAGGCCACAGCAUUAGCUUCAUCCUACCACACCGCUUCACAUUCUUCCGACUUUCAAGAGCUCCACUGAUGGAAGAGGGAACUGACCCGUGAGGAAAGCAACAGUCAUCUCAUCCAUCCUCAUUCAUCUCAAAUAUGUUAAAUGUUUGGUACUUUUUCUUAUAAACUGUUUCUCUCCAUCAUCUUGUAUUCUAUGUUCUUGUCUUGAGACUUCUCCCAUUAAACCAUCAUUUAGUAUACUGUUUUCUUCGUCUCAACUUCUUCAGAAGUCUAAUAAGCACCAAGAAGAGAGUAUCCAUAAGAUUAGUAUUUCAACCCCAAUGAUUGAAAUUGCAGUGUAAUAAACCUGCACAAUUUGUCAAAUUGAUGAUAAAGGUUAUGGUUGGUUGAGGUGGGAGGGAGGUGGAUGUCUCAGAGGACCACACUGGUAUGGUCAGCCAAACCAUGGCAAGACGUAAUUUUUUUUUCUUCUGGGUUGUCAUCUUAAUUGGUGGAUCGCAUGUCUGCU